UUGACCUCAAAUCGGGUGAGACUACCCGCUGAACUUAAGCAUAUCAAUAAGCGGAGG
rnacentral:rRNA from 8 species